UUCCAAUCAUCUCCCAGUGUCACAGUGGAUCAGGUCAGGAGACAACUGAGGAAGCUUCGCCCCAGGAAGGCAGCAGGCCCAGACAAGGUGUGUCCUAGGAUGCUAAAGGCGUGUGCUGCUGAACUUGGGGAGCCGCUACAACGAGUCUUCAACCUCAGCCUGCGACUGGGGAGAGUGCCCGCCCUAUGGAAGACAUCCUGCAUCGUCCCGGUCCCCAAAAGGAACCGUCCCAAUGAGCUGAAUGACUUCCGACCGGUGGCACUGACGUCACAUCUUAUGAAGACUCUAGAGCGGCUCUUCCUCAACCUCCUCCAACCACAGGUACAACAUGCCCAGGACCCACUACAGUUCGCAUAAAAGGCGGAUGUCGUGCUGAGUGUAAAGCUGUCAGCAGGGGGAAUAACACAGGGCUGUGAAUGAGUCCUGUCACUGUGAUCAGGCUCCUCCUUCUAAUCCACCAACUUAGUGUUGAUGAAGACUAAACAGAGAGAUCACAGCUUCUUUAUACUUGCUGUAGCUCACAGUUACUCUACACUGCAGAUAUGACGCCUCUGUUCAUCUCAGUGCUGCUGGCUGCUAUGUGCCUCGAAUGCAGAGCGCAAAAAGACAAUGUGCUGCAAGCAAAAGGAGAAGAGACUGCUGCUGCAGGAGGCUCAGUAACACUUCACUGUCUCUAUAACAGCAGCAGUUUAACAGGCACUUCUCUCUUCUGGUACAAACAGGAUGGAAACAACAGCCCCAAAUUCAUCCUGAUGCACUAUAGUGGGAAUCAAGGAAACACAGCAGACGAGUUCAAGGAGAGAUUUUCAUCCACACUGGAUUCCAGCAUCAGAUCAGUUCCUCUGAAGAUCCAGAAGCUUCAGCUGUCUGACUCUGCUGUGUACUACUGUGCUCUGCAGCCCACAGUGACAGGAAACACCAAAACUCUGUACAAAAACCUUUGGAGCAAAGACAACAGAAUACUCCACAACAUCCACUAGAGGGAGCCACACACUGUUAAACCUCUGAUUCUGUUCCUGUGACUGAAACAUUGUGCUUCUGGUUACACUGACUGGCUUCACCUUCUUUUUGUCAACAUGCAAUAAAUUGUUUUGUAAAAUGUUGAUGACAGAGCACCACAGAUUCACUUUGACCUUUUUCCAAGAAGAAACCGUCUUCAGA